rnacentral:rRNA from 1 species
GAUGUUAACCUAGAUAGUUUUUGAUUACUUUUAACUUUAGGGUAAAAUUAGAAGUUGUUUGUAUUUGUGUCUUGUGUUUUUAGAUUUGUUGAACGACCCAGAUUAGUACCUGGUUAGACAAAAGUUAAAAGAGCAGGAGUAAAGUUAUAUUUAAACUGUAAGAAUAUUGGCAGGUCUUUAAAUUAUCUUUGGAGGCUGAGUAGUAAUUGAGAGCCCUCAUUAUCAGCCUGUGUUGUAGGCUCAUGUAUGAUCGUUUAUUUUAUCCUUAAGGGUUGUAAUGUUAGUUUGGUUGCUGUAAAAAUAGAUAUAUACUUGGUUGAUGCACAGGAUUUAAUUUGGCCUACAAUAGUUUAUGGUGUGUGGAUUUUAAUCGUAGUGGUUAUUUGAAAUUGUAAAAGACAGUAAAUUUCUUUUUAUGGGAAAUUGAAGUUUAUUUAAAGACGGUACAAACUAUCCCGGUCAAA